GUUUCCCCCCAGCUGCAGGAAAUCGGCGUUUCACACACCUGUCUUCUGUGAUCAUCAGGACUGGCUUAUAUACCCAGCCAUCGCCUCACUUCCCCACUGGAUUAUUAAGUCUAGUUUUGUUUGUUGGAGACCCUGCUCUGCUCUCGUGCCGCCGUCACGGAGGAUGCCUGGCUGGAGAUUUCCCCACCGCAGACUCACACUUGCCACACCGGAGGAACCUUACCCCCAGCAUCAAGCCUGUCUAACCAUAUCUUGUGUUCAAUGAACACUGAGUAUCCUCCUGAGCUGUGAUCUUGUCUGCAUCUGGGUUCUGAGCCACAAAAUAAUCCGGCCAGAAAAUGAACCCAGCGACCUGAAUUCAGUUCUGGAGGAGAUUUUUAGUCAAGGAACCGUGCUGAGUCAACACAGUGAGCUACUCCAAGGAGUCAUGGAGGAAUUAAAGAACCUCUCCACCUUUUGUUACCACCCUGCAGGCUCAAUUCAACACGGCAUCAGCAUCCCCUGCAUCUGUGUGAAUAUUCUCCUGAGCUCUGUUCUUGUCUGCAUCUGGGUUCUGAGCCACAAAAUCCCUGACAGGUGCAGUGUAUCAUUAAAGUUACAGUGCAGAUCAUAUAGUGUUAUUUGGUUAAAGAGGCAGUUCAUAGAUACAGUAAUUGUAGGGGAAUUUUACCGUUUUCCCCACUUUAUCAGAGUGAGGUAACCAAUAAAUGCCUUUCUUAAAUGCUUUUUUAUA